UGUAAGCGUAUACCAAAGUUGUUGCAGUUAAAACGCUCGUAGUCGGAAUUUGGCAGUUCCGGAUGUGUGCACGUCGUGUGCGCACUUCGCGGGGAUUGCUUUUGUGGUCUUGCGUAGGAUGAGGCACUUUUAUUAGUGAACGUCCUCACGCAACCACUUUUUACUGUGAGAAAAUCAGAGUGCUCAAAGCAGGCAUUUGCCGUGAAUGUAUUAGCAUGGAAUAAUAGAAUUGGACUUGGUUCUAUUUUGUUGGUUUGUUGGGACUGAGUAAUGAUUAAGAGGGACAGUUGGGGGCAUUUGUAUUUCGGUGCUAGAGGUGAAAUUCUUAGAUUACCGAAAGACAAACUGCUGCGAAAGCGUCUGCCAAGGAUGUUCUCAUUGA
rnacentral:rRNA from 1 species